AUGGAGAUAUUGGCCUGCAAGCGAGCUCUUCAAGUGGCGCAGGAGAUAAACGCCGAGAGGGUGCAUGUUGAGCUUGACUCUCAGUGUGUGGUACGGAUGCUAAACAAUCCACACAAGGAGAUGUCCAGUGCUAGGCCGUGGAUACAACAACUUAAAGUGACGCUUGCUUCUUUCUCUGAGUUUAGAGUGUCGUGGAUUCAUCGCUCUGCAAAUGUUGCAGCACAUAGAUUUGCUAGAGUUGGUAUUGGUGAUGAACUUUGUAAGGUUUGGUUAGGGGUUACCCUAGACUUUGUGCUAGACGUUAUUUCAGACGAGAUUCCGAACGCUUAUGAUUGA
rnacentral:rRNA from 1 species